UUAGAGCUUGCUCCCAUGGAGUACGGCGGCAGGGUGAGUAACACGUGGGUAACCUGCCCAUAAGACUGGGAUAACUCCGGGAAACCGGGGCUAAUACCGGAUAACAUUUUGAACCGCAUGGUUCGAAAUUGAAAGGCGGCUUCGGCUGUCACUUAUGGAUGGACCCGCGUCGCAUUAGCUAGUUGGUGAGGUAACGGCUCACCAAGGCAACGAUGCGUAGCCGACCUGAGAGGGUGAUCGGCCACACUGGGACUGAGACACGGCCCAGACUCCUACGGGAGGCAGCAGUAGGGAAUCUUCCGCAAUGGACGAAAGUCUGACGGAGCAACGCCGCGUGAGUGAUGAAGGCUUUCGGGUCGUAAAACUCUGUUGUUAGGGAAGAACAAGUGCUAGUUGAAUAAGCUGGCACCUUGACGGUACCUAACCAGAAAGCCACGGCUAACUACGUGCCAGCAGCCGCGGUAAUACGUAGGUGGCAAGCGUUAUCCGGAAUUAUUGGGCGUAAAGCGCGCGCAGGUGGUUUCUUAAGUCUGAUGUGAAAGCCCACGGCUCAACCGUGGAGGGUCAUUGGAAACUGGGAGACUUGAGUGCAAGAAGAGGAAAGUGGAAUUCCAUGUGUAGCGGUGAAAUGCGUAGAGAUAUGGAAGAACACCAGUGGCGAAGGCGACUCUCUGGUCUGUACCUGACACUGAGGCGCAAAAGCGUGGGGAGCAAACAGGAUAAAUACCCUGGUUUCCACCCGUAAACAUAAGUGCUAUGUUAAAGGUUUCCCUUUUGCUAAUUACCCUAACACCCCCUGGGAGUCGCGCAGGUUAACACAAGAUAACGGCCCCAACGGACAUUGUUUCAACACAANUACCAGUGACCUUACACUAAAGGUNCUG
rnacentral:rRNA from 1 species